rnacentral:rRNA from 1 species
GAUGAACGCUGGCGGUAUGCUUAACACAUGCAAGUCGAACGGACUCUUCGGAGUUAGUGGCGGACGGGUUAGUAACGCGUGAGAAUCUGGCUUUGGGUUCGGGACAACCACUGGAAACGGUGGCUAAUACCGGAUGUGCCGAGAGGUAAAAGAGAAAUUGCCUGAAGAUGAGCUCGCGUCUGAUUAGCUAGUUGGUGAGGUAAAGGCUCACCAAGGCAGCGAUCAGUAGCUGGUCUGAGAGGAUGACCAGCCACACUGGGACUGAGACACGGCCCAGACUCCUACGGGAGGCAGCAGUGGGGAAUUUUCCGCAAUGGGCGAAAGCCUGACGGAGCAAUACCGCGUGAGGGAAGAAGGUUCUUGGGUUGUAAACCUCUUUUCUUAGGGAAGAACAAAAUGACGGUACCUAAGGAAUAAGCAUCGGCUAACUCCGUG